GAGGCUGGUGAGCCAGGCAGAAGUCAGAGCGGGAGGAGCCUUGAGGUCUCUCCAGGAGAUUCAGGGACCAUAGGAUUUGGUAGUGAUUCAGCUAUAGAGUAAAAAGAUGACAGUGGCCAUAUCCAGGGUAAUGUCUACGGGAAUUUGUGAAUAUCCAGAUAUCCAGAUAAGAGAGGAUGAUGGCCCUAACUCGAGUACCAAAAUUGGAUUUCCUCAGAGUCUGGCUGAGGUGAGAAAUGAUUGAGUCUUGUCUUGGUGUCCUGUAGAGAGAAAUGCUGUCUUCUGGGACCACCGCCCUGAGCUUGGGGGGCCCCACUAGCAUUCAGGUUCCCGGGAGAAAAUCCUGAAGAACGGGGGUCAUGAGCAGGGGACGUGUCUGCUAUCUGGGUAAGUGAUUGUGUGCACCAUAAACUCACCACGGACAACCUGAUCUUCACGUUUGUAGGUCAGUGAGGUUCCUUUCCCUGAACAGUUUACCAUGUGAUGCGUUUAUGGGUAUUCCGGUAAGAAAGGGUAGUGGCUCCUUGUUCUCCUUGCCAUGUAAUCCUAUUGUUUUCUAUCUUGGAGAGAACAUAUGAGGUAAGUACCCUGUGAGUGCUGAUGGAUUGGCAUGUAACCAGGGAACUCCAGUGGCACUGUGCAUCACAGGAGUAACUAAGGUGGAUGUGCAAAGACGGCCAGAGAAAAUGAAGUGUCCUAUGAUGUCCUACCCCUUGGAGCGACCACAAGCAUCCAGAAGUCAAGGGAACCCUCAUUAUGCUCGAGCAGGGGCACUCUGCCCGUAUCCAGAGAGGAGACAGUAUGGGCGUAAGCAGGCCAUGGACGAUCCAGUCUUCCGAUACACAGGAUAAUGUGCCUUGAACCUGAGUCCGUGUUGACUGUGGUAGAUGCGGGUGUCCAGGUAUGCCAAGUGGCAUCCCGGAAAACACCUGUCAGAUGCAUUUCUUCUGCUGCUGCUAGUCAUGAGAUCAAGAUUCCUGCUAUGACAUCACAGUGAAUCCAACAUGGGUCCCUAUCAGGAAGCAGGGCUGCUCUGCAGGUCAAGGCUGCAUGAGGACCCAAAGCAACACAUGGGCCACUUGAAGUUCAGGUGUAUAGGUUUUCCAGGGUCCCACAAGGAAAUCCCGAUAAACAGGAGUCAGGAUCAGGGAACAUGUCUGCUAUCUGGGUUCAGGCAGGCAGAAGUCAGAGCAUGAGGACAGCAUUGAGGUCUCUCCAGGCGAUUUAUGGACUCUCGGAUUUGGUAGUGAUUCAGUUUUUUUUCUUUUUUUGAGAGUCUGGCUGAGGUAUUGCUGAUGCACGCAUAAACCACAGCACGCACCAUGGGACUGUCCCAGGGAUCUGGUUCACUGAUGAGAUGUCCCCACACGUCUUCCCGCCGUGAUUUCUUUCACAGAUGACCAAAAUGGAUCCUACAGUAUAAUCACACAGGAUAAUGUUGGAAAGUAUGAACUGUGGCCUGGCAGAUCUGACUGUUGUUGCUGCUGCUUCUGUUCCUGCUGAUGCUUUUCAAAAUAGUCUUCUUUUAUUUUCUUCGGCUGUUCUGAAGCAGGAGUUACACGUGAUGUCUUUGGAAGAUCUUGCGAUGUGUUUCCGGAACUACCUUGCAUGCUUAGCUCAAUAGUCCUGCGGAGAUCUUCAUCUUCUCUAUUGGUUUCUUGGCGGCUUAGUUCAAGGGCCCUCUGAAAAUCCUCCUCAUCUUGGUCUGAUGUUCCAGACUCAUCACUUUCUUCUGAUACUUUUUCAAGGACUGUUUUAUAGACUCUAUGCUCUUUUUCUUUUACUAAUUUUUUUCUAUUAAGUUUUGGUGUAUCCAUCUCUUCGACACUGAUGAUCUGCAGGAGUUGGUCAGCUUCACAGUCUGGCAGAUCACCCUUGACAACAAAUACAGAAUAUGCUUGUUGUUGUAAUCGAGCCAAGAAAUUUGCAAGGAUCAAUGCCGAGCUUCUGAUAUUCAGGAUUAUUGAAAUGGAUGAUCUCUAAACCCCAGAACUUCAAGGCAUUGCUUAUUACCUGAAUGGAGAAGAAACCGGUAUCAUCCAUGUUUUCUGAAGGCUGCUGUAAAAAUGCGAGAUACUCUUCACUGGUGACUCCUCCUUCUGCCAUUCUCAUCCUCUCUUCUUCAUCUAGCUGAUGUGCAAUUGAGGCUAAUUCCACAGGGCUAAAAUAUUCUCCUUGCAAUAGAUUGUUCAGACAGUGCUGAGCACACAGGAAACCUUCCUGUUUCUCAUGAAAGAUGAAAUCCA
rnacentral:antisense_RNA from 1 species